GAUGAACGCUGGCGGCGUGCUUAACACAUGCAAGUCGAACGAAGCACUGUAUUUGAUUUCCUUCGGGACUGAUUAUUUUGUGACUGAGUGGCGGACGGGUGAGUAACGCGUGGGUAACCUGCCUUGUACAGGGGGAUAACAGCUGGAAACGGCUGCUAAUACCGCAUAAGCGCACAGCAUCGCAUGAUGCAGUGUGAAGAACUCCGGUGGUAUAAGAUGGACCCGCGUAGGCUUAGCUAGUUGGUGAGGUAACGGCCCACCAAGGCGACGAUCCAUAGCCGGCCUGGGAGGGUGGCCGGCGACCUUGGGACUGGGACGCGGCGCGGACUCCUGCGGGAGGCAGCAGUGGGGAAUAUUGCACAGUGGGCGAAAGCCUGAUGGAGCUACGCCGCGUGAGCGAAGUAGUAUUUCGGGAUGUAAAGCUCUAUCAGCAGGGGAGAUAAUGACGGUACCUGACGAAGAAGCACCGGCUAACUACGUG
rnacentral:rRNA from 1 species